AAGAAAAAAAAAAUAAGGAUGAUCUCACUUUUACGCUGAUCUUUAGGAUGAAAAAAAAAUCGCAGUCGCCUAAAGUCCCCGGGAAAUUGCUACUGUUGGGGGAAAACGAAACAUUUCUUGCAAACGAGAAAAUGGGGAAAUCGCUAAAUCUGCAUCAAAUAAAACACAGAGAUUGAGUAAUACAUAAACUUCGGUCUUAAAAGACUGCUAGGCGAGGCGGAUGGAGUUCUGCAGGAGACACUGUGCAACAUGGAGGAUUUCCCUGAGCUUCGGAAAGUGAGGCUGCAACAAACUUCGGGCGGCUGCCCUCCAGAGCUGCGGGAGACAGAAAAGAUCCUGCCCUACUUUGUCCCUGGUCAGCAAAACCUGAAACAGUUCAGGUCAGAAUUCCACAAGGCGCUGAUAAAGUAUGCUGAAAACGUAUAGCAAAAUAAAAGUAAUAGGAAGUGCUUAGUUUUUUCAGUCUCGUAGAGGCUGUUCUUAAAUGUGUGCGAGACCCUUCCUAAGCCAAGAAAUAUUUUAAUCCUUUACUAGUCGGCUACAGAGCAUCCUAGGGAAAAUACUCUAGCGGCCAAUCAUUAAUUUGAGGGGCUUGGGAAGUUGCAAGAAGUUUUCUUCUGUUUUCUUUUUUUCUGCCUCUCUCUAUACCGGCUCAUCUUUCACUAGCUUUAUAUUACAUAUAAUCUGCGUGAUGUAAUGUAACCUUGCUGCUUUGCCUACCCAGAGCAUGGCUCAGAGCGCUGGCCGCUGCACCGAGGACUCGGGAAGCUGAGCCCUGAGAAGGGUUAACGCGCUGUGUGCAGUGCGGGUCUGCAGGCUCGCAGUUACUCUUACUUUCUUCAGCUGUAAAGACUUCGAUUAGUUUCACGUGUGUACAUUUUUCCUAUUGCAGUUAUACUCGGCCACAUAUAUGCAUGUAUUUAUGAAUUUAGUGACAUGUAUAUUUUAACAAAGAAGAUGCCCUAGCACAGCUUUCACUCAUGCAUAAAUGCACACACGUUUGGAAGAUGCCAGCAGAUUGCAACCUCAGGAGCUAAACGAUUUCACUACAAGAAACAUUUGUGAGAGAAAGCACAACACCGACUAUAUAGGAAGGUUUGUUUAAAAGCACUCACCUUGCUUUUAAGAGGGCGGGCCACAAGCUCUGGCAGGAGAGGGUAAUGAGCUUGUAACAAUGCACCAUUUUGAAAUAGGGGGGUUGAAUGAAAAGAGUCAAACUUUCCGUAAACAGAAAUUGGAGGACCUUUCUCAGUUCAAUUAGAAAUAAGAACUGUCGUGCGUGUGUGUGUGUGUGUGUGUGUGUGUGUGCGCGCGUGUGCAUGUGUGCGUGUGCGGGAAAGCGGCAGCAGAUACACGUGCAUAUAUACACACACAUGCAGUACAGUUAAAUAUUCAUAGCACUUAGUGCCAAAACACUCAGGAAGUUGUCGAAUAAUUUCUCUGUUAACUAUUUCAAAAAUUUUAAGGAAGAAAAAUCUAUUAGACUUUCCAUCAGACAAAUUACAGAUUGAAAUGCAGAUUCCACGAUGUGCAUCAGCUUCUUUUGGGGUCACAGUCUAUUUCAGAGAGGCAGAACCCGUAAUUUUAUUAAGUGUAACAUUUACAAACAUAAUGCAUAAAAUCGAUGACUGUACAGACUACAUCUACAAAGACUCAGCACAUAAGGCUCAGCUUUGAGCUUGCUCUUCCCGGCAGUUUUAAACCAAGGUACCAAUUAUUUAUAAGUCCCAUAAUUAGAUAACCAUCACUUCUGAACUUUACAUCAGCUAAGAAUGUUUUAUAUUGCAACUAUGUGCACCAGUUAGUGUCCCUCUCUGUUGUGUAUUUUCACAGUUCAUUUCAUUUUCCUACAUGGAAAGUCUAACACUUUGCUAAGCAGCCCCUGUGCUGACACCGAGCGCAGUGGCAGGCUGAGCACAUAGAAGGACCAUGGAAAUUAGCUGCUAGUUAUGGUAAGACUCCGAGAAGCUCAGUAAUGAAGUUUAUUAAACUUAGAAUAGCUGCUGAAAGAGGAAAUACCUCUCGGAAACUAACAUGCCUCGUGCUUUAACCUUUUUUUCUCUCUUUUUUUCUUUUUUUUUUUUCCUCCCCGAGGACAGUGCUGAUGCCCAGCCACUUGUUCGUUGCAGGACGGGAGCGGGAGCAGCGCGGCGGCGCGACCUGCGGAGGGACCCGGCGGGGAAGGCGGC